UGAUGACACUUUCUCCGGAAUCUCUGCACAUCCUUGAUGACCUUUGAACCCUUUUACAGCUGAUGACUGCAUACUGUUCAGC
ensembl:snoRNA